rnacentral:rRNA from 1 species
GACGAACGCUGGCGGCGUGCUUAACACAUGCAAGUCGAACGGAAAGGCCCUGCUUUUGUGGGGUGCUCGAGUGGCGAACGGGUGAGUAACACGUGAGUAACCUGCCCUUGACUUUGGGAUAACUUCAGGAAACUGGGGCUAAUACCGGAUAGGAGCUCCUGCUGCAUGGUGGGGGUGGGAAGGUUCCGGCGGUGGGGGAUGGACUCGCGGCUUAUCAGCUUGUUGGUGGGGUAGUGGCUUACCAGGGCUUUGACGGGUAGCCGGCCUGAGAGGGUGACCGGCCACAUUGGGACUGAGAUACGGCCCAGACCCCUACGGGAGGCAGCAGUGGGGAAUAUUGCACAAUGGGCGGAAGCCUGAUGCAGCAACGCCGCGUGCGGGAUGACGGCCUUCGGGUUGUAAACCGCUUUCGCCUGUGACGAAGCGUGAGUGACGGUAAUGGGUAAAGAAGCACCGGCUAACUACGUG